AGGGCAUAUGGUGGAUGCCUAGGCGUUCCGAGCCGAUGAAGGACGCGAUAAGCUGCGAUAAGUCAUGGGGAGCCGCAAGUAGGCUUUGAUCCAUGAAUCUCCAAAUGGGGCAACCCGGUACGAGUCAUGUCGUACCAUCCGAAAGGAAGGCACACCCGGUGAACUGAAACAUCUAAGUAGCCGGAGGAAGAGUAAUCAAACGAGAUUCCCUCAGUAGCGGCGAGCGAACAGGGAAGAGCCCAAACCGGACGUCUUCGGACGACCGGGGUUGAGGACCAGCAUCAAGGGAAGGCAAGAUAGCCGAACAGUCUGGGAAGGCUGAGCACAGACGGUGAAACUCCGGUAGGCGAAAUCUUACCCAACGGGCUGGUAUCCAGAGUACCACGAGACACGUGAAACCUUGUGGGAAGCAGGGUGGACCACCAUCCAAGGCAAAAUACUACGGAACGACCGAUAGCGCAUAGUACCGUGAGGGAAAGGUGAAAAGAACCGCGGGAGCGGAGUGAAAUAGAACCUGAAACCGUAUGUCUACAAGCAGUCGAAGCACUUUAUAUGUGCGACGGCGUGCCUAUUGAAGAAUGAACCGGCGAGUUAAUUUCAGAGGCGAGGUUAAGCGGGAGACGCGGAGCCGAAGCGAGAGCGAGUCUGAAUAGGGCGCAAGUCUCUGGGAUUAGACCCGAAACCACAGUGAUCUAUGCAUGGCCAGGUUGAAGCUCAGGUAAAAAUGAGUGGAGGACCGAACCCGUGAGUGUUGAAAAACUUUGGGAUGAGCUGUGCAUAGGGGUGAAAUGCCAAUCGAACGUGGAGAUAGCUGGUUCUCCCCGAAAUAGCUUUAGGGCUAGCCUCAGGUAACACAUGGAGACGGUAGAGCACUGAUCGGGUAAGGGAGCGUAAAGCUUACCGAGCCUAGUCAAACUGCGAAUGGCUUCAUGAGAAGAGCCUGGGAGUCAGAAUGCGAGUGAUAAGACCCGUAUUCAAAAGGGAAACAGCCCAGAUCGCCGACUAAGGUCCCAAAUGCUGUACUAAGUGGAAAAGGAUGUAGGACUUCCAAAACAACCAGGAUGUUGGCUCAGAAGCAGCCACCAUUCAAAGAGUGCGUAAUAGCUCACUGGUCGAGAGGCCCUGCGCCGAAAAUAUCCGGGGCUCAAGUACAGAACCGAAGUCGCGGGAUGCGCAAGCAUCGGUAGGGGAGCGUUCCAAGCAGGUUGAAGGCAGACCGGAAGGACGGCUGGACAGCUUGGAAGUGAGAAUGCUGGUAUGAGUAGCGAAACGAUCCGUGAGAAUCGGAUCCACCGAAAGCCUAAGGGAUCCUGAGCAACGCUCGUCGUCUCAGGGUAAGUCGGGACCUAAGCCGAGGCAUAAAGCAUAGGCGAUGGACAACAGGCGAAAAUUCCUGUACUGCAUGAUGUUGUUUGAGGAUGGAGUGACACAGCAAGGAGCUUGAGCGCGCGAUUGGAAAUGCGCGUCGAAGGCGGUAGGCUGGUAUAGAGGCAAAUCCCUGUACUAAGGCCGAGAACUGAUAGAUAGGAGCGUACUUCGGUACAAUCCGAAUUCAAGCGUACUACACUGUCGAGAAAAGCUUCUAACGAGACAUCAUGUACCCGUACCAAAACCGACACAGGUAGGCGGGGAGAGAAUCCUAAGGUGCGCGGGAAAACCCUCGUUAAGGAACUCGGCAAAAUGCAUCCGUAACUUCGGGAGAAGGAUGGCCGGAGCUGGUGAAGACCCUUGCGGUUGGAGCUGGAGCCGGCGGCAGAAGAGAAGCCCAAGCGACUGUUUACCACAAACACAGGUGCCUGCUAAAGAGAAAUCUGACGUAUAGGUGCUGACACCUGCCCGGUGCUGGAAGGUUAAGAGGAGAGGUCAUUCGCAAGAAGAAGCUUUGAAUUGAAGCCCCAGUAAACGGCGGCCGUAACUAUAACGGUCCUAAGGUAGCGAAAUUCCUUGUCGGGUAAGUUCCGACCCGCACGAAAGGUGUAACGAUUUGGGCACUGUCUCAACGAGGGACCCGGUGAAAUUGAAAUACCUGUGAAGAUGCAGGUUACCCGCGACUGGACAGAAAGACCCCAUGGAGCUUUACUGCAGCCUGACAUUGAUUUUUGGCAUGUAACGUACAGGAUAGUUGGGAGACGGAGAAGAUAGGCCCCCAGGCUUAUCGGAGUCGCUGUUGGGAUACCAACCUUUAUGUGCUAGGGAUCUAACUCGAGAAGUAACGAAGCUGAGGACAGUAUCAGGUGGGCAGUUUGACUGGGGCGGUCGCCUCCGAAAGAGUAACGGAGGCGUCCAAAGGUUCCCUCAGCGCGGACAGAAAUCGCGCGAAGAGUAUAAAGGCAGAAGGGAGCUUGACUGCGAGACAUACAGGUCGAGCAGGUACGAAAGUAGGGCUUAGUGAUCCGGUGGAAUGAGAGUGGAAUUGCCAUCGCUCAACGGAUAAAAGCUACCCUGGGGAUAACAGGCUAAUCUCUCCCAAGAGUUCAUAUCGACGGGGAGGUUUGGCACCUCGAUGUCGGCUCAUCACAUCCUGGGGCUGAAGCAGGUCCCAAGGGUUGGGCUGUUCGCCCAUUAAAGUGGUACGUGAGCUGGGUUCAGAACGUCGUGAGACAGUUCGGUCCAUAUCCAUCGCGGGCGUAAGAUACAUGAGGGAGACUGCUCCUAGUACGAGAGGACCGGAGUGGACGGACCGCCGGUGUACCAGUUGUUUCGCCAGAAGCACAGCUGGGUAGCUGCGUCCGGAAGGGAUAAACGCUGAAAGCAUCUAAGCGUGAAGCCCGUCCCGAGAUGAAGUAUCUCAUAGCACAAGCUAGUAAGACACCUUGA
rnacentral:rRNA from 1 species